CCUACGGGUGGCAGCAGUGAGGAAUAUUGGUCAAUGGGCGAGAGCCUGAACCAGCCAAGUCGCGUGAGGGAAGACGGUCCUACGGAUUGUAAACCUCUUUUGUCAGGGAGCAAGGAGCGCCACGAGUGGUGCGGCGAGAGUACCUGAAGAAAAAGCAUCGGCUAACUCCGUGCCAGCAGCCGCGGUAAUACGGAGGAUGCGAGCGUUAUUCGGAUUUAUUGGGUUUAAAGGGUGCGCAGGCGGGCUGUUAAGCCGGCGGUAAAAAUUCAGGGCUCAACCCUGUCGAGCCGUCGGAACUGGCAGCCUUGAGUGGGCGAGAAGUAUGCGGAAUGCGUGGUGUAGCGGUGAAAUGCAUAGAUAUCACGCAGAACGCCGAUUGCGAAGGCAGCAUACCGGCGCCCGACUGACGCUGAGGCACGAAAGCGUGGGGAUCGAACAGGAUUAGAUACCCUUGUAGUC
rnacentral:rRNA from 1 species